rnacentral:rRNA from 1 species
CUGGUCUGUAACUGACGCUGAGGAGCGAAAGCGUGGGGAGCGAACAGGAUUAGAUACCCUGGUAGUCCACGCCGUAAACGAUGAGUGCUAAGUGUUAGGGGGUUUCCGCCCCUUAGUGCUGCAGCUAACGCAUUAAGCACUCCGCCUGGGGAGUACGGUCGCAAGACUGAAACUCAAAGGAAUUGACGGGGGCCCGCACAAGCGGUGGAGCAUGUGGUUUAAUUCGAAGCAACGCGAAGAACCUUACCAGGUCUUGACAUCCUCUGACAAUCCUAGAGAUAGGACGUCCCCUUCGGGGGCAGAGUGACAGGUGGUGCAUGGUUGUCGUCAGCUCGUGUCGUGAGAUGUUGGGUUAAGUCCCGCAACGAGCGCAACCCUUGAUCUUAGUUGCCAGCAUUCAGUUGGGCACUCUAAGGUGACUGCCGGUGACAAACCGGAGGAAGGUGGGGAUGACGUCAAAUCAUCAUGCCCCUUAUGACCUGGGCUACACACGUGCUACAAUGGACAGAACAAAGGGCAGCGAAACCGCGAGGUUAAGCCAAUCCCACAAAUCUGUUCUCAGUUCGGAUCGCAGUCUGCAACUCGACUGCGUGAAGC